UACAGAGGGUGCAAGCGUUGUUCGGAAUUACUGGGCGUAAAGCGCGUGUAGGCGGCUUGAUAAGUCAGACGUGAAAUCCCUCGGCUCAACCGAGGAACUGCGUCUGAUACUGUCAGGCUAGAGUGUCGGAGGGGAUGGCGGAAUUCCUGGUGUAGAGGUGAAAUUCGUAGAUAUCAGGAGGAACAUCCGUGGCGAAGGCGGCCAUCUGGAAGACAACUGACGCUGAGACGCGAAAGCGUGGGUAGCAAACAGG
rnacentral:rRNA from 1 species